rnacentral:misc_RNA from 1 species
UCUACCGCCAGCGCCGAUUUGAGUUCUCAGCUUGCAGGCGCUUAACAAAUAUUGCUAAAGCGGGUCGAGCCUGCCCUGGA